GACGAACCGCGCAAACGUUAUUCGGAAUCACUGGGCUUAAAGGGCGCGUAGGCGGGGCAUCAAGUCAGGGGUGAAAGCCUCCAGCUCAACUGGAGAAGUGCCUUUGAUACUGAUGGUCUCGAGGGAGGUAGGGGCGUGCGGAACUUCCGGUGGAGCGGUGAAAUGCGUAGAUAUCGGAAGGAACACCGGUGGCGAAAGCGGCGCGCUGGACCUCUUCUGACGCUGAGGCGCGAAAGCCAGGGGAGCGAACGGG
rnacentral:rRNA from 1 species